rnacentral:rRNA from 1 species
CCCUUAGAUGUUCUGGGCCGCACGCGUGCUACACUGAGUGGAUCAGCGGGUCAGGUUGCGCGAAAGUGUUUCCUAAUCUUUAAAUCCGCUCGUGAUGGGGAUUGACGGUUGCAAUUUUCCGUCAUGAACGAGGAAUACCUUGUAAGCGCGGUUCAUCAUCCCGCGCUGAAUACGUCCCUGCCCUUUGUACACACCGCCCGUCGCUCCUACCGAUUGAGUGGUCCGGUGAGGCUUUGGGAUCUGAGCGGAAAGAGCGUUUCGCUGUUUCUGCCCGGAAAACUCAGUCGAACCUUAUCAUUUAGAGGAAGGAGAAGUCGUAACA